rnacentral:misc_RNA from 1 species
GAUGAAGAACGCAGCAAAAUGCGAUAAGUAAUGUGAAUUGCAGAAUUCAGUGAAUCAACGAAUCUUUGAACGCACAUUGCGCCCGCUGGUAUUCCGGCGGGCAUGCCUGUUCGAGCGUCAUUUCAACCCUCAAGCCCCCGGGUUUGGUGUUGGGGAUCGGCUCUGCCCUUCUGGGCGGUGCCGCCCCCGAAAUACAUUGGCGGUCUCGCUGCAGCCUCCAUUGCGUAGUAGCUAACACCUCGCAACUGGAACGCGGCGCGGCCAUGCCGUAAAACCCCAACUUCUGAAUGUUGACCUCGGAUCAGGUAGGAAUACCCGCUGAACUUAAGCAUAUCAAUAAGCGGAGGA